AUUGAACGCUGGCGGCAGGCUUAACACAUGCAAGUCGAGCGGAGACUUCGGUCUUAGCGGCGAACGGGUGAGUAAUACCUAGGAAUCUGCCUAUUAGUGGGGGAUAACGAAUCGAAAGGUUCGCUAAUACCGCAUACGUCCUACGGGAGAAAGGGGGGGAUCGCAAGACCUCUCGCUAUUGGAGCGGCCGACAUCAGAUUAGGUAGUUGGUGGGGUAAAAGCCUACCAAGCCUUCGAUCUGUAGCUGGUCUGAGAGGACGACCAGCCACACUGGAACUGAGACACGGUCCAGACUCCUACGGGAGGCAGCAGUGGGGAAUUUUGGACAAUGGGCGCAAGCCUGAUCCAGCCAUGCCGCGUGAGUGAAGAAGGCCUUCGGGUUGUAAAGCUCUUUCGGCCGGGAAGAAAUCGCACGGGUUAAUACCCUGUGUGGAUGACGGUACCGGAAUAAGAAGCACCGGCUAACUACGUG
rnacentral:rRNA from 1 species